GUUCUACUGAAGAGUCCCAAACUAGGACGGAACAGCCGUCCAGUAC
rfam:Trichobilharzia regenti genome assembly, scaffold: TRE_scaffold0021414